UGAGGAGCAACCUGAACUGUAUCACUACGCUGAAGUAAAAUGUUUGGUCUUACAAAAAGCUUCACUGCUUGAUAGCAAUGAGAAGAUCUGCUCCCACAUCACAAAAAUUAUGAUGGACAGAUUCAGACCUGCAAAAAAGAAGGGAUAAAAGCAGGAUGUCUACUCCUGGGCAAGGCAAGCGUGGACGUUUGCACAAGAUCCAGCAGACUAACCUGAAGAAGAGUUAUUAAAAAUUGAUCUCCUGGAGUAACAACUGGAAAGAUUAGUUUCUCAGAAAAGAAAGGAAAUGGCAACAGCAGAAACAAAGCAACCCAGAUGGCCCAUAAGCAGACUAAUUAUAUGACAGACCCAGAAGCAACUCUGAAGUUACCAAUCCAGCUGCCGAGAGCGUCUGCCAGCUUGCCAGAUGUUGCCAAUGAAAACCUAUCUUCCACAGUUCAUCAAAGAAGUAGAGCUGCCUGGUGAAGUGAAACCUCUGCCAAUAAAAUAAAUAUUUUAUCUAAAAAAUAUUUUCUACUAGGAAUCGUUGAAAAAUAUGAAAUUUUAACAACAUGCCCAACCUGAUGUUACAGUAGAUAAAUAAUGAAACAUACUUACAGAAUGCAUUGGCAAGAUCUUAUUGAUAGAAAGUAUCUAUGCUUAACAUUUUAUUUUAUAAGGCUAGUCUUGGAUUGUAUUAAACAAAGUGGGUUUAUGAGGCAUGAGGUUGAUGGCACUCAGCUGGGGUUUGGAUAAUCUGCUUUGAAUCUAGCAGUCGCUUUUGCCACCUUGAGAUAAAAGGCUUAAAGACAACAAAGCUGGGGGAGCCAAAGGUGACAGUAGUGGGCACUGCAAGGUGGGGAGGCUGCAGAGAUGACAGUGAACCACUCUGUGGCUGCCAGGCCACCUCUCCAAGAGCUCUGUGUCCUCCAGGACACAAUAAAGAAGAGCAGCAGUUCUUGGUGGGUAACUUCCAUUUUGCUCCUGCUAAAUUUUAUGAACUGAGCAAAGGAAUAGCUGCUAAAAAGGCUUCUUCUAGCAACUGGUAAAGGAUCCGAGCAAGGAGCAGUAUACAUGUGCAGGGCUUCAACACUGGACACACAGGCUGCCCAACAGAUUCAUGCAAAGACUAGUUCUAAUUUUUGCUACGAGAUCAAAUUAAUAUUCCAUUUUAAAUCAGGAACUUAAGUAUUUUAAAAAUCUUGUGUGAUUUUUAGAUGUGUCUAUUAAUGUCGCUAAUCCAGAGCCUUGGAAAUAUUAUGUCAGUUCAUCCUAGAGGCCAAAACCCAAACUGCCUGUGUAGUCUGCUAGCAAAGCAAAACAUCUCUUUUUUCCAAUGAACAUGGGUGCUUUGGGAUUCACACAAGCAUAUUUGGCAGCUUUUUCAAGUAAUUUUUGGCCUGCAGAGCAUCCACUAAACAUGGGGAGCAUUUUCUGUUGAGGAAUAUGAUAGGAAUGAGAAUGUGCUACCGGAGGAUGAGCUCUGGCACUUCUAUCAUAAUUUAAUUUGUCAAAUAUAGUUCACAAUAUUUUAUAAUAACAAUCAAUAGCUAACCAUGUCUAAAAACUGGAAGGGCUAGGGUUGGAGGAUGUCAACCAUCAUAUCUUUAAUAAUACAUAAUUCCUUAAAUGUGCAACUAAAUCACUGAAAUAUAUGAGCUUAAUUUGGAACCUCUUACACUUUGAAAAUUCAUAUCUCUUUUUUAAUAACUGGUUACAGAAUUUUCAGACUAGACCAGAUUUUUCUGAUUUGUUUCCUUGGCUCUUAAAUGGGAUGAUUCCCCAAGACCAAUGUGAAAAACAUAAACCCCAGGAAUAUGUCCUUUGUGGCUCUCUCCCCUGUCUUUUUACACCUUGCCUUACCUUGAUGACUUAAGACAUUCCUGCAGGAGACCUAAAUGUGGCUAUUUCUCCGAGGUCCUGCAACACACAGAUUUAUUGCUGACUGUCAGAGUUAGAAACAAAUGCAUUUGGGAAUGCAUUUCCUGAAACUGUUAACUGACUUGACAGAACAAGAGUGGGGCAGAGGGUGGGUAGUAAGAAAGAGCCUCUAUAACAUUAUUCCUUCUUUAGUAAACAAAUUAUAGUCUUGAUUAUACUCUUGAUUCAUAAAGAAUGCCUUUACCUCUCCAAAGAUUACUUUAUCGCCACUGUGGAAUAUUUAAUGUCCUGUGACUACUGAAUAUUCUUGGAAAAGCUCUGAUUUUGCUGCUACAUUCAUCAGGUACCUGUGCUUACUUAAAUUAGGUCUCUUGGCAUUGUCCAGUAUUUCAAAGAAACCACCCUACCAGAUGUGAUACCUUCAGGACAGUAAGAUAAUUGGGUCUGGGGAUGCAGGAACCUGCAGAGGCUGCCCUGCUCAGCCAGAGGUGACACAGCCCCUCUCACCCACAGGGCUCGUGGUAGGCAGGAUGUAGAAUAAGAAGUACAUGGUAACAGCCUGUGAGAAGACAGCUACCUUUCCUUGCAUCUGCUGUCUGAGAAGAUAAAAUGUUAUUUUCAGACCAUCUGAUUUUGAUGUCUUUUUCUGCCCCACUCAAGGGCAUGCUGCUUCUUAGGCAGUUCCUCAGCAGAGGGACAAGCAGUACAUGCAGAGACUCUCCAAACUUUGUCACCAACAUUCACAAAACAACUUGUUCUCCCUGUGAGUCCACAGUAGCUCAUGUAAGAUAAGAAACUACUGCAAAACUAGGAGCUUUAAAGAAGUUGCAAGCAAAUGUUUCCUAAGCAGUAUGACUGUCUGUUCCUGUUUCACCUGAGUCUGAAAAAUCCACAAUGAUAAACAGGAAAAUUAAAAUAAAAAAAGAAAACUAUUACUGGACUUGAGCCUGCCAAGCAAGCCCAAAGCACCAGCAAUACAGUGGAGCAAGGACACUAAAUGAAAUGACACUUGAAAAUGUUCAAAUUUACAUUAUGUGUGUGGGGAAGGAAGCUGAAAGGAAGGCAAGUAAAAGGCAGACAGAAAGGUGCCAGAGAGGGGCAAAGAGCAUGAUAUAUUCUGCACUCUAGGCAAUCAAUGGAACAACAUACAUAUGAGUUAACUCAUUAAGGGUUCCUGGAGUGAAUCUUAGAGAUUAUGAAACACCAACUGAAAAGGCUCUACAAAGAAAAUCUGUUUAAUAAAUGCAAAAA
rnacentral:lncRNA from 1 species